rnacentral:lncRNA from 1 species
CAAGGGCGGGGGUUUUGGACCUCGGAAGAGAGCCGCGGAAUCAAUCAACUCAGCCAUAGCCAAUGCUGUACAGCGUAAAUGUCCAUGCUCCUUUGGCCUGUUUGAGAACUCCUGGAUCCGGAGUUGGGAGGCAGAAGCAUUCUUUCACUGCAGAGGCUGGGCACCCUUUCUGACGUGAACCUAACUGAGACGCAGCUGUGACCAUGCCCGAAAGCUCUGGAAGAACGCAGAGCCUGGAGGGUGACAGGCUAGUUGGCUGGUGAAUGGAGAGAGGCAAGUCUAAACGUGG